AUUGAACGCUAGCGGCAUGCCUUACACAUGCAAGUCGAACGGCAGCACGGGAGCAAUCCUGGUGGCGAGUGGCGAACGGGUGAGUAAUGCAUCGGAACGUGCCAUUGAGUGGGGGAUAACGUAGCGAAAGUUACGCUAAUACCGCAUAUUCUGUGCGCAGGAAAGCAGGGGAUCGCAAGACCUUGCGCUCUUUGAGCGGCCGAUGUCAGAUUAGCUAGUUGGUGGGGUAAAGGCUCACCAAGGCGACGAUCUGUAGCGGGUCUGAGAGGAUGAUCCGCCACACUGGGACUGAGACACGGCCCAGACUCCUACGGGAGGCAGCAGUGGGGAAUUUUGGACAAUGGGGGCAACCCUGAUCCAGCCAUGCCGCGUGAGUGAAGAAGGCCUUCGGGCUGUAAGACUCUUUCGGUCCGGGAAGAAAUACGCACAGGUUAAUAACCCUCGUGUGGAGUGACGGUACCGGACUAAGAAGCACCGGCUAACUACGU
rnacentral:rRNA from 1 species